rnacentral:rRNA from 1 species
UACGUAGGCGGAAAAUUAAGUCAGUAGUGAAAUCCUGCAGCUCAACUGUAGAACUGUUAUUGAUACUGGUUUUCUUGAAUGUAGUUGAGGUAGGCGGAAUGUGUAAUGUAGCGGUGAAAUGCUUAGAUAUUACAUAGAACACCGAUUGCGAAGGCAGCUUACUAAGCUACGAUUGACGCUGAGGUACGAAAGCGUGGGGAGCGAACAGGAUUAGAUACCCUGGUAGUCC